AACAGGGAUUGCCCUAGUAACGGCGAGUGAAGCGGCAACAGCUCAAAUUUGAAAUCUGGCGCAAGCCCGAGUUGUAAUUUGUAGAGGAUGUUUCUGGCGACGUGCCUUCCGAGUUCCCUGGAACGGGACGCCAUAGAGGGUGAGAGCCCCGUACGGUUGGAUGCCUAGCCUCUGUGAAACUCCUUCGACGAGUCGAGUAGUUUGGGAAUGCUGCUCUAAAUGGGAGGUAUACGUCUUCUAAAGCUAAAUACCGGCCAGAGACCGAUAGCGCACAAGUAGAGUGAUCGAAAGAUGAAAAGCACUUUGAAAAGAGGGUUAAAAAGUACGUGAAAUUGUUGAAAGGGAAGCGUUCAUGACCAGACUUGGGCAGGUUGAUCAUCCGUGGUUCUCCGCGGUGCACUCUGCCUGCCCAGGCCAGCAUCAGUUCGCCCCGGGGGAUAAAGGCUUUGGGAAUGUGGCUCCCUCGGGAGUGUUAUAGCCCACUGUGUAAUACCCUGGGGUGGACUGAGGUUCGCGCUCUGCAAGGAUGCUGGCGUAAUGGUCAUCAACGACCCGUCUUGAAACACGGACCAAGGAGUCGUCUUCGUAUGCGAGUGUUCGGGUGUCAAACCCCUACGCGUAAUGAAAGUGAACGUAGGAGAGAGCUUCGGCGCAUCUCCGACCGAUCCUGAUGUUCUCGGAUGGAUUUGAGUAAGAGCAUACGGGGCCGGACCCGAAAGAAGGUGAACUAUGCCUGUAUAGGGUGAAGCCAGAGGAAACUCUGGUGGAGGCUCGCAGC
rnacentral:rRNA from 1 species